AGAGUUUGAUCCUGGCUCAGGACGAACGCUGGCGGCGUGCCUAAUACAUGCAAGUCGAACGAACUCUGGUAUUGAUUGGUGCUUGCAUCAUGAUUUACAUUUGAGUGAGUGGCGAACUGGUGAGUAACACGUGGGAAACCUGCCCAGAAGCGGGGGAUAACACCUGGAAACAGAUGCUAAUACCGCAUAACAACUUGGACCGCAUGGCCCGAGCUUGAAAGAUGGCUUCGGCUAUCACUUUUGGAUGGUCCCGCGGCGUAUUAGCUAGAUGGUGGGGUAACGGCUCACCAUGGCAAUGAUACGUAGCCGACCUGAGAGGGUAAUCGGCCACAUUGGGACUGAGACACGGCCCAAACUCCUACGGGAGGCAGCAGUAGGGAAUCUUCCACAAUGGACGAAAGUCUGAUGGAGCAACGCCGCGUGAGUGAAGAAGGGUUUCGGCUCGUAAAACUCUGUUGUUAAAGAAGAACAUAUCUGAGAGUAACUGUUCAGGUAUUGACGGUAUUUAACCAGAAAGCCACGGCUAACUACGUGCCAGCAGCCGCGGUAAUACGUAGGUGGCAAGCGUUGUCCGGAUUUAUUGGGCGUAAAGCGAGCGCAGGCGGUUUUUUAAGUCUGAUGUGAAAGCCUUCGG
rnacentral:rRNA from 1 species